GUAUGGUGCAGGCGUUAUCCGGAUUUACUGGGUGUAAAGGGAGCGUAGACGGAUAGGCAAGUCUGGAGUGAAAGCCCGGGGCUCAACCCCGGGACUGCUUUGGAAACUGUUUAUCUAGAGUGCUGGAGAGGUAAGUGGAAUUCCUAGUGUAGCGGUGAAAUGCGUAGAUAUUAGGAGGAACACCAGUGGCGAAGGCGGCUUACUGGACAGUAACUGACGUUGAGGCUCGAAAGCGUGGGGAGCAAACAGGAUUAGAUACCCUGGUAGUCCACGCCGUAAACGAUGACUGCUAGGUGUCGGGUGGCAAAGCCAUUCGGUGCCGCAGCAAACGCAAUAAGCAGUCCACCUGGGGAGUACGUUCGCAAGAAUG
rnacentral:rRNA from 1 species